rnacentral:rRNA from 1 species
GAUGAACGCUAGCGGCAGGCUUAACACAUGCAAGUCGAGGGGUAUAGUAGCAAUACUAGAGACCGGCGCACGGGUGCGUAACGCGUAUGCAAUCUACCUUUCACAGAGGGAUAGCCCAGAGAAAUUUGGAUUAAUACCUCAUAGUAUAGUAUCUUGGCAUCAAGGAACUAUUAAAGUCACAACGGUGAAAGAUGAGCAUGCGUCCCAUUAGUUAGUUGGUAAGGUAACGGCUUACCAAGACUACGAUGGGUAGGGGUCCUGAGAGGGAGAUCCCCCACACAGGUACUGGGGCACCGACCAGACUCCUACGGGAGGCAGCAGUGAGGAGUAUUGGACAAUGGGCGCAAGCCUGAUCCAGCCAUGCCGCGUGCAGGAUGACGGUCCUAUGGAUUGUAAACUGCUUUUGUACAGGAAGAAACACCCCGACGUGUCGGGACUUGACGGUACUGUAAGAAUAAGGAUCGGCUAACUCCGUGCCAGCCGCCGCCGUAA